rnacentral:rRNA from 1 species
GGAGGAUGCGAGCGUUAUCCGGAUUUAUUGGGUUUAAAGGGUGCGUAGGCGGUUCGGAAAGUCAGCGGUAAAAGCCCGGGGCUCAACCCCGGCGAGCCGUUGAAACUGACGGACUAGAGAAGGCGAGAGGUACGCGGAAUGCGCAGUGUAGCGGUGAAAUGCAUAGAUAUUGCGCAGAACUCCGAUUGCGAAGGCAGCGUACUGGCGUCUGACUGACGCUGAGGCACGAAAGCGUGGGGAUC